AUUGAACGCUGGCGGCAGGCUUAACACAUGCAAGUCGAGCGGGGUGAUGGUGCUUGCACUAUCACUUAGCGGCGGACGGGUGAGUAAUGCUUAGGAAUCUGCCUAUUAGUGGGGGGCAACGUCUCGAAAGGGAUACUAAUACCGCAUACGUCCUACGGGAGAAAGCAGGGGAUCACUUGUGACCUUGCGCUAAUAGAUGAGCAUAAGUCGGAUUAGCUAGUUGGUGGGGUAAAGGCCUACCAAGGCGACGAUCUGUAGCGGGUCUGAGAGGAUGAUCCGCCACACUGGGACUGAGACACGGCCCAGACUCCUACGGGAGGCAGCAGUGGGGAAUAUUGGACAAUGGGGGGAACCCUGAUCCAGCCAUGCCGCGUGUGUGAAGAAGGCCUUAUGGUUGUAAAGCACGUUAAGCGAGGAGGAGGCUCUUUUGGUUAAUACCCAAGAUGAGUGGACGUUACUCGCAGAAUAAGCACCGGCUAACUCUGUGCCAGCAGCCGCGGUAA
rnacentral:rRNA from 1 species